CUGAACUGUGUUCAGUUCAUUCCACCAAGAUGGCCGCUCUAGGGGAGCCCUGGCCAGAAGGAGAGUGGGGCCCAGGUGUACCGACCAGGUGUGACACAGGAGAGGCAGCACAGUAAAACACAUGGAUCACAGAUCCCAGACAGAAGAGGGCAGCAGUCCUGGCAGGAACAACAAGAAGAGGACAGAUGAAAAGAACAUGGCUGCCGGUACAAGCCCCACGCCAAGACUAUAAUUCACAGCUCACCUUGCACCAGAGGAGGACCUGAAAGGUGAGAGGAGAUCUGGAAGGUGAAGGGAAGCAACAUACAGAUGUUCCUGGAUUUGUGAUGUGGCUUCAUCUUCCAUAUCCAGCCCUCUGUCUGGCACUGUGGAUCCCCAGAUGAUUAAGGCAUGGCAUCUGCUGUGAGAGACAGACAGACAGACAGACAGACAGAUAGGCAGAGAAGAGGAUAAACAACUGCUCUCCCAGUCCAGGCAAACCUGUGGAGCCAACACAUCCUCUGGACUUGGUUUGCAGGUCUUUUGCAGGGAACCAACACCAUCACUCUUCUCCUAGAAACAAGAGGCUCUAGGCCGGGACAAGGCCUAUCACUUCUGGACAUCUAGACCAGCCACCAAAUGGUCUAGCUGACUCAACCUGGGAAGCUGGGACAAAGAAGGGGAAUCAGGAAAAUCAGAAACUCCUGUGGCCAGGCAAGCUCCAGUGACCAAGGUGUGAUCAUCCCAGCGCUGAAAAGAUCACACCAACCCUGUGUCUCCCACACCAACCGAAGUGUCCCCACUGUGCAAGAAGUUGGGGUGUAAAGACCUCAGAGAGAACUAAGUUGGAGUUCAGAUCCAAACUCCAUUUCUUCUGUAACAUGGCAACUGAGUUUCUGUUCAUUCCUUUGGAGAUUGAGGACAUAACACCUUAUCUCCCUGGGCUGUCGUAUGUUCAUAAUGUUCACAAUAAUGUAUGUGAAAGGCCUGAGACCGUAUCUGUACCUAGCAGAUUCUCAAUAAGUAUUGUUAACUUCUGCCUUCAUUUCUUCAAGUGUGUGACAAAUUGGCCUUUUAUCUGCCCUACCUCUCAGGACAGAGAAGGGUCCAGUGUUUCUCACUGUGGGAACAGAAAAGGGGACACUUUCCUUCUACCACCAG
rnacentral:lncRNA from 1 species